rnacentral:rRNA from 1 species
GAGUUUGAUCAUGGCUCAGAUUGAACGCUGGCGGCAGGCCUAACACAUGCAAGUCGAGCGCGAAAGGUUUUCGGACUGAGUAGAGCGGCGGACGGGUGAGUAACGCGUAGGAAUCUACCCGGUAGUGGGGGACAACUCGGGGAAACUCGAGCUAAUACCGCAUACGCCCUGAGGGGGAAAGCGGGGGAUCUUCGGACCUCGCGCUAUCGGAUGAGCCUGCGUUGGAUUAGCUAGUUGGUGGGGUAAAGGCUCACCAAGGCGACGAUCCAUAGCUGGUCUGAGAGGAUGAUCAGCCACACCGGGACUGAGACACGGCCCGGACUCCUACGGGAGGCAGCAGUGGGGAAUAUUGCGCAAUGGGCGAAAGCCUGACGCAGCCAUGCCGCGUGUGUGAAGAAGGCCUUCGGGUUGUAAAGCACUUUCACUUGGGAGGAAAAGUUUGUCGUUAAUAGCGGCGAGCCUUGACGUUACCUUGAGAAGAAGCACCGGCUAACUCCGUGCCAGCAGCCGCGGUAAUACGGAGGGUGCGAGCGUUAAUCGGAAUUACUGGGCGUAAAGCGCGCGUAGUGG